AGAGCGGGGCGCUCGACACAGUGUGGAGACUGUAGCUCAGAUCGACCCGACUCGGCAUCGCUCGGCUGCCAGUUCGUCAUCGCUGUGCGCAUGUGCGCACCGCGGCGUUAUGAAACCAUGCGACCAGGCCACCCAUAUUUGUUACAAUUACAGUGAAAACACUGACUUUGCCCUGAUGUGUCGCAACACUGAAAAACUUAUGGACAAGAUGGCAGAUAUCAUCUUCCACAAAAAUAACAGCACUAUUUCAUUUGAACAGUGAAACUCAGAUGAAGCAGAACAGCAGCUGGAGGAUUCAUGUCAGUCAGCACUCAGCACUUUGUAUAUUAAGUCUUGUAUACGUUUGACAUGAGCAAACCUGUUUGUCCCUGACUUUGAACAGACAAUGGAUGGAUCUAUUUGAG